rnacentral:rRNA from 1 species
ACGGGUAGCUGGUCUGAAAGGAUGGUCAGCCACACUGGAACUGAAACACGGUCCAGACACCUACGGGUGGCAGCAGUCGAGAAUCAUUCGCAAUGGGGGAAACCCUGACGAUGCGACGCCGCGUGGAGGAUGAAGGCCUUAGGGUUGUAAACUCCUGUCAAGAGGGAAUAAGCAAGUGAAGGUACCUCUAGAGGAAGGGGCGGCUAAUUCCGUGCCAGCAGCCGCGGUAACACGGAAGCCCCGAGCGUUGUUCGGAUUCAUUGGGCGUAAAGGGUGCGUAGGCGGAGCGGAAAGUCCGGCGUGAAAGGCAGGGGCUCAAACUCUGGACUGCGUUGGAUACUUCCGUGCUUGAGGACUGGAGGGGAGACUGGAAUUCACGGUGUAGCAGUGAAAUGCGUAGAUAUCGUGAGGAAGACCGGUGGCGAAGGCGAGUCUCUGGACAGAUCCUGACGCUGAGGCACGAAGGCUGGGGGAGCGAACAGGAUUAGAUACCCUGGUAGUCCCAGCAGUAAACGAUGUGAGCUUGAUGUGGGGGGAUUCGACCCCUUCCGUGUCGAAGCUAACGCGAUAAGCUCACCGCCUGAGGAGUACGGCCGCAAGGCUAAAACUCAAAGAAAUUGACGGGGACCCGCACAAGCGGUGGAGUAUGUGGCUUAAUUCGAUGCAACGCGAAGAACCUUACCUGGCCUUGACAUGCAUUGUGUCGUCGGUGAAAGCCGGCUAGUCCUGGAAACAGGACGCUUUGCACAGGUGCUGCAUGGCUGUCGUCAGCUCGUGUCGUGAGAUGUUGGGUUAAGUCCCGCAACGAGCGCAACCCUUGUGGUCAGUUACUAACCGGCUUAGCCGGAGGACUCUGGCCAGACUGCCCUGUCAAACGGGGAGGAAGGUGGGGACGACGUCAAGUCAGUAUGGCCCUUAUGGCCAGGGCUGCACACGUACUACAAUGCCCGGUACAAUGUGAACCGAAACCGCGAGGUGGAGGAAAUCGCUCUUGAAAACCGGGCCCAGUUCGGAUUGGAGUCUGCAACUCGACUCCAUGAAGUCGGAAUCGCUAGUAAUGGCGUAUCAGCAACGACGCCGUGAAUACGUUCCCGGGUCUUGUACACACCGCCCGUCACAUCAUGGAAGUCUCCUGUACCCGAAGCACGUGCGCCAACCUUGUAGGAGGCAGCGUUCGAAGGUAUGG